rnacentral:tmRNA from 1 species
GGGCUAGUAAAGGUUUCGACAGGGGUUAUGAAGCUUGAGGAGCCAUUGGGAGGGACCACCUUACGGUACAAAACUUAAAUAUAAACGCAGAUAAUAAAUUAGCGUACGCUGCCUAGUUUGCAGCAGUCAGCUCUAGAUCACCUGUAGUCUGGAAUCCUGGCUUCAAACAUGCAGGACCCUUGACCGGUCAAGCUUUGUGCCGGUUAAAGUAUUGAUGAAGCUACUGAAGCUGUGAUCCUGUUAGUCGGAGCACGGUAGAGGGAAUGAAAGAAGACUGACUGUAAUGGGAGAGCCUCAUGUGAAUUGGCUUUUGGACGCGGGUUCGAUUCCCGCCUAGUCCA